AAGUCGUAACAAGGUUUCCGUAGGUGAACCUGCGGAAGGAUCAUUAACAAAACACCGGGAGUGGGUGCGUCGCAAGCCGGCGUGCCCAUGACCAUACACCUUUGUGAAUCGGGCGAAGCGCAGCGAUGCGUCGAGCUUAGUCGGGCGUGGGCGUGUUGUUGGCGGCGGCGGCGGCGGACACAUACAUUUUAAUGUCUAAUCUUUUGUCGAAAGACACAAAGCAAUCAAAACAACUUUUAACAAUGGAUCUCUAGGCUCUU
rnacentral:misc_RNA from 1 species